AUAAGAAAAAGAUUUUCGUAUUUUUAGCAUAUGAAUUUUUUUAAAAUGUCUAAAUUCUUAUCACACCAGCCAUUCUCUUGUAUUGCAUCAGUAUGGGAUCUUACUCAUUAUUAUGCCACAUUAUCAUCUGUUGCAUUUAAAUAUGUAAGAAUGACAUUAUGUGAAUAUGAUCUGGGAUGGGAGGAUGAACUAGCAAGAAAUGAAGUAGGUGUGCUGAUAAAUAAGAGAAUGAAGGCAUAAGUGCAUGAAUACUAAUAAAGAUAUGAGAAUGAACCUGGAAUUACUGAGAGCCUUUUUGGUUGGUAGGUAUGUUUCAGUAGAUGAUGCAAAUGAGGAUGAAAAAGUCAAGUUCCUCUGUAAACCAAAUAAUAUGCUGAAUGAAUGCUAUGGCAAGAGCCAAAUUUGUGUAUAUAUUGUGGCUAUUAAGUUAUCAUAUUUAAGUGGCCCUCUCAAAUGCAUUUAAUAUCUUUUUAGUGAAACAUGAAACCUUUUGUAAUGUAAGGUCAUAAGCUGUAGCUUGUCUGGCUUAUGCCUAAAUCUGGCUCUGGCUAAAGAGUGUGACUGUAGCAGAUGAUUAGGUAAUUUAAAUAACAGGGUUGAUCUGGUAAGAAGGAUUGGUUGGACAUAGAACUUAUAAAACCAAGCUAUAAAAUCCUGG
rnacentral:lncRNA from 1 species